CCCCCAUGGGCUGUAAGGGGACAUCCUGCCUCACCACGGUCUGCACCAGGGCUGGAGGGGAAUUUCUACUCUGACCUGUUUCAGAAGAGGGAUCACCUCUCUCCUGCUUCACUGAUCUUGAUUACUUUAAAAAUUUUGAUCCUUAUUCAUCUCCUUUCACUGAAGGAAGAAAGGACUUAGGACCUAGUUCCAACUGGAAUUCACGUAGUACAAAAUUCAUAACCAAGCCUUUUUUCCUCAUAAAAGGAUAAACAGCACAGUGACUCCUUCAUCAAGGUUUACUGCCUCCAUGUUAAUAAGCUCUCUAAAAUAGCAGUUGUUCUUCAUCAUCACUGGAC